rnacentral:rRNA from 1 species
CCUACGGGUGGCAGCAGUGGGGAAUAUUGCACAAUGGGCGCAAGCCUGAUGCAGCCAUGGCGCGUGUGUGAAGAAGGCCUUCGGGUUGUAAAGCACUUUCAGCGGGGAGGAAGGCGUUAAGGUUAAUAACCUUGUCGAUUGACGUUACCCGCAGAAGAAGCACCGGCUAACUCCGUGCCAGCAGCCGCGGUAAUACGGAGGGUGCAAGCGUUAAUCGGAAUUACUGGGCGUAAAGCGCACGCAGGCGGUCUGUCAAGUCGGAUGUGAAAUCCCCGGGCUCAACCUGGGAACUGCAUUCGAAACUGGCAUGCUAGAGUCUUGUAGAGGGGGGUAGAAUUCCCGGUGUAGCGGUGAAAUGCGUAGAGAUCUGGAGGAAUACCGGUGGCGAAGGCGGCCCCCUGGACAAAGACUGACGCUCAGGUGCGAAAGCGUUGGGAGCAAACAGGAUUAGAUACCCCAGUAGUC